ensembl:lncRNA
AUGGAGGACAGUUUGGGGAAGAAAGAAAAAAGCAAAGAGAGGAGGAAGGGAGCUGAACGCUUCUCAGUUGCUGAGCUUCUGAACUGCCCCUUUUCUAAAGCUCCCCAACUGCAAAACCUGUUCGGAGGAAGCCCCCAGGGUCACCACAGGAUUAGAGAUGGCGAAAGAGAGAAAAUGAGAGAUGAAAGAAGUGCUUCGCUAAACCAACUGGAAGAAAACAUCGUAACACUCAUCUCUCCAUUGCUAACCCCCAACAUAGGUGCAAUAAAUUGACAAUAUCACAUCCUGGGAGGAUGUGGAACACAUUCUUCCUACAGGGAUCGCUGGCCUUGGAAAACGGGUAGGAUUCAGCAUACAAACUGUAGUAUGUCCUGGCUCAACCCUUCCUGAUGGAAAUGGAUGCAAUUUUAAAGUGAUGAGAACUAUUUUUGUGGGGCGUUCCACCAUGAUAAAUGCACCUGAAAGUGGACAAAAACCCUCAAUACAGUCUCAGAUACACGCAAUGUGUGGAAAAACACCCAUCAUGCCCUUCAACGCUAUGCAAUUCAACCACACGUUGACAGUCAAGUUCAUGAAACGCUUCAAUCAAAUGGUUUAUCACCCAAACUUUUUCCGCUUCUUUACCUUUUGGAGAUCUUGCACGUGCUUUAAAUGAAAAUAGACAGUGGCGUCAUUGACCCGCCAUAUUCCUAUAUCGUACCGUUUCCCCAUUCAUCCAGUUGGAAAUCUUGUUCAGAGUGUCCUUCUCAGGGCUCACAGAAAGGCGACUUUGUCAACUAUGAAGAAAAGAGCGUUAGCCUCUCUCUUUUCUCUCUCUCUUAGUUUAGUUCUCUGCAUCUCAGCAUUUCUGUUCCACUGUAGAUGAACUGCAUGGCAUGAAUGGAAAAAAACAAAAAACAGAGAGAAAAAUGAUAGAGAUCAUGCUGAGAGGAACCAGAGGAAACCGUAGACAGGACCACACUGUUUGCACAGUACAAUAUGGGUGACUCUGGAUCAGUGGAUGGGGUCACCUUUUUCACCUUCAUGUGGGGAACAGAAAAUACAACAUAAGUGCAUGAUACCUGAUGAAGGACAGAGGGUUUUUUAAGUGGACUGGGUGAACUUUAAACAAAAGCUGAAGAAAAGAGAAAAUUAAAAAUGCAUUUUCUCACUUUGUUUACCAGCAUGACUAAACUGCAUGACUUCUGCAAGCCCUGAACCCCAAAUUAGAGGGCUUGAAAUCACUAAACACCGAAAUCAAAUGGAAACAUUAAAAGUUUAUGCUAAAUGCUACUAAAUUUAGAAAAAAAAGAAUAUAUAAAAGAGAGGCUCUAUAUUUUGUUUUUAAAAAAAAAAAAAAGAAUAAUGUACAAAUAUAUAGGAUUGCAAGAUUCACACAGUUUUGUUGGAUAAAAGAUUAACAAACCCCACUGAGUCUAGCUGAAUGAUGAGACAAACUCCUUCAACUACUACUGCUUCCUCAAUGGCUUCAAGUGACAUUUCUUCCCUUCUCUUUGUCCGCCGUUUCACCCUUUACUUGAACUUUCCUGGCUCUCUGCUCUGCCCUUCACAAUCCCCCUCAGUCAUGGCAGCCUCCAGCAGUGGCACGACAGCUCCUCUGGAGAUCUCCGACACCUAUAGGGCUCUUUUCUUUUGAUGGUUAUGGGUCUGAAGAGUAAGGUUGAAGGGGAUUUUAAGGCUGUGGGUGAAGUUUUCUUUUUAAGUUGAGUCCUGAUGGAAAGUUUUGGGUUGACUUGCGAUGUUUGACUUUUUAUUUCAUCCACAUUCUGUGGGUAAAUCAAAGCUUUAUCCAUCGAAAGUGAGCCUGCGUCCACUUCAUAGCAAUCUAAUGAAUAUUAGCGUUGUGUGAACUGCUGUGUCUUGAGACCAAGAGCACUUACAUCGCAAAGCACUAUUUUUCAAGCAGGAAGCCAUAAUGUGAGAGUAGCGCCACCGUAUGAGCUCAAAGGUGCUCAGGAGACCGUGCUGAUUCAGAAAGCUGAACAUGGUUUUGUAGUUCUUAAGUUAUGUUGAGUUUGUUUCAAAUGUUGACAUUAGCGUUAAUUUUAUUCUGUAGUUGAUUUUGCUUACAGAGCAUUACAAGGUUUUGACAAGAUUUUGUUUCAGUCAUUUAAUAUUUUUUUAUUUUGAAAGUUUCAAGAUUUGCAUAUGCUGAGCACCCACUAAAACCAGCCAUGCCAUACCAAAAUGGACUUCCUUAUGAACUUAGCAGCAGAUUUCUGAUAUUAGCAUCAGUAUUAGCAUUAUCUUGUGUGAGAGGAGACCAUGAUUCCACCAAUGUCGCUUAAAAAUCAUAGAUUACACAUGUGAGUAACUGUUUGUUUAAAACAUUUGGUGUCUUCUUCAACAAGAUACGAGGUUACUUUUCAAAAGUUGGUUAGUCUGGUUAGGUGUUUUAAGGUAUUUAAAGUGUCAUUUCCUGUCUUAAAACACCAUGACUGUAUUCUGUCAGCACUCAUCGUUAAGAAUCAGAUGUUA